rnacentral:rRNA from 1 species
CCAUGGAAGCAGGUUUUAGCCAUGGUGGUGGGGCUUCAGCAAGUUCUUGUUGGGGUAAAAAUGGAGCAUGGAGUAAACUAAGAGAUGAGCUAUAUUUGGCAAGGAAGGUGGCCUCACUUUGCUUUUGCCAGAUCUAGUUUGCAUCUUAGGAUAAGAGCAUCAUGUUAAUAGCGAACGUAACAAGCUGCACCAUCAAUUUGGACAAGGUAUGCAUACACAAGAUCAGAGAGGGAGUUAGUAGAGAAAGCGCAUAAACAAGAUCACGACCAACAACAAGCAGAAGUUGGCCAAAACAGCAUCACUCUCCGAACGAGACUCCAAAGAGGGCACGCUUGUAUGCUCUGCUGCCAAGUGCCAACUUGAUCG